rnacentral:snRNA from 1 species
AUCGCUUCUCGGCCUUUUGGCUAAGAUCAAGUGUGGUAUCUGUUCUUAUCAGUUUGAUAUCUGAUACGUCCUCUGUCCGAGGACAAUAUAUUGAAUGGAUUUUUGGAAUUAGGAGUUGGAAUAGGAGCUUGCUCCGUCCACUCCACGCAUCGACCUGGUAUUGCAGUACUUCCAGGAAAAAAAAAAAAAGA